GUCCACGCCGUAAACGAUGAUAACUAGCUGUCCGGGUUCAUGGAACUUGGGUGGCGCAGCUAACGCAUUAAGUUAUCCGCCUGGGGAGUACGGUCGCAAGAUUAAAACUAAAAGGAAUUGACGGGGGCCUGCACAAGCGGUGGAGCAUGUGGUUUAAUUCGAAGCAACGCGCAGAACCUUACCAGCGUUUGACAUCCUCAUCGCGAUUUCCAGAGAUGGAUUUCUUCAGUUCGGCUGGAUGAGUGACAGGUGCUGCAUGGCUGUCGU
rnacentral:rRNA from 1 species